CCUACGGGAGGCUGCAGUGGGGAAUAUUGCACAAUGGGGGAAACCCUGAUGCAGCCACGCCGCGUGAGUGAAGAAGUAUUUCGGUAUGUAAAGCUCUAUCAGCAGGGAAGAAGGAGGACAGUACCUGAAUCAGACGCCCCGGCUAACUACGUAGCAGCAGCCGCGGUAAUACGUAGGGGGCAAGCGUUAUCCGGAUUUACUGGGUGUAAAGGGAUCGUAGACGGCUGUGCAAGUCUGAAGUGAAGGCCCCUGGCUCAACCGCGGAACUGCUUUGGAAACUGUAUAGCUUGAGUACUGGAGAGGCAGGUGGAAUUCCUAGUGUAGCGGUGAAAUGCGUAGAGAUUAGGAGGAAUACCAGUGGCGAAGGCGGCCUGCUGGACAGAAACUGACGCUGAGGUGCGAAAGCGUGGGGAGCAAACAGGAUUAGAUACCCUUGUAGAC
rnacentral:rRNA from 1 species